GACGAACGCUGGCGGCGUGCUUAACACAUGCUAGUCGAACGGAAAGGCCCUGCUUUUGUGGGGUGCUCGAGUGGCGAACGGGUGAGUAACACGUGAGUAACCUGCCCUUGACUUUGGGAUAACUUCAGGAAACUGGGGCUAAUACCGGAUAGGAGCUCCUGCUGCAUGGUGGGGGUUGGAAAGUUUCGGCGGUUGGGGAUGGACUCGCGGCUUAUCAGCUUGUUGGUGGGGUAGUGGCUUACCAAGGCUUUGACGGGUAGCCGGCCUGAGAGGGUGACCGGCCACAUUGGGACUGAGAUACGGCCCAGACUCCUACGGGAGGCAGCAGUGGGGAAUAUUGCACAAUGGGCGGAAGCCUGAUGCAGCAACGCCGCGUGCGGGAUGACGGCCUUCGGGUUGUAAACCGCUUUCGCCUGUGACGAAGCGUGAGUGACGGUAAUGGGUAAAGAAGCACCGGCUAACUACGUGCAGCAGCCGCGGUGAUACGUAGGGUGCGAGCGUUGUCCGGAUUUAUUGGGCGUAAAGGGCUCGUAGGUGGUUGAUCGCGUCGGAAGUGUAAUCUUGGGGCUUAACCCUGAGCGUGCUUUCGAUACGGGUUGACUUGAGGAAGGUAGGGGAGAAUGGAAUUCCUGGUGGAGCGGUGGAAUGCGCAGAUAUCAGGAGGAACACCAGUGGCGAAGGCGGUUCUCUGGGCCUUUCCUGACGCUGAGGAGCGAAAGCGUGGGGAGCGAACAGGCUUAGAUACCCUGGUAGUCCACGCUGUAAACGGUGGGUACUAGGUGUGGGGUCCAUUCCACGGGUUCCGUGCCGUAGCUAACGCUUUAAGUACCCCGCCUGGGGAGUACGGCCGCAAGGCUAAAACUCAAAGGAAUUGACGGGGCCCCGCACAAGCGGCGGAGCAUGCGGAUUAAUUCGAUGCAACGCGUAGAACCUUACCUGGGUUUGACAUGGAUCGGGAGUGCUCAGAGAUGGGUGUGCCUCUUUUGGGGUCGGUUCACAGGUGGUGCAUGCCUGUCGUCAGCUCGUGUCGUGAGAUGUUGGGUUAAGUCCCGCAACGAGCGCAACCCUUGUUCACUGUUGCCAGCACGUUAUGGUGGGGACUCAGUGGAGACCGCCGGGGUCAACUCGGAGGAAGGUGGGGAUGACGUCAAGUCAUCAUGCCCCUUAUGUCCAGGGCUUCACGCAUGCUACAAUGGCUGGUACAGAGAGUGGCGAGCCUGUGAGGGUGAGCGAAUCUCGGAAAGCCGGUCUCAGUUCGGAUUGGGGUCUGCAACUCGACCUCAUGAAGUCGGAGUCGCUAGUAAUCGCAGAUCAGCAACGCUGCGGUGAAUACGUUCCCGGGGCU
rnacentral:rRNA from 1 species